rnacentral:rRNA from 1 species
UACAGAGGUCUCAAGCGUUGUUCGGAUUCAUUGGGCGUAAAGGGUGCGUAGGCGGCGCGGUAAGUCGGGUGUGAAAUUUCGAGGCUUAACUUCGAAACUGCAUUCGAUACUGCCGUGCUAGAGGACUGGAGAGGAGACUGGAAUUUACGGUGUAGCGGUGAAAUGCGUAGAUAUCAGGAAGAACACCGGUGGCGAAAGCGCUCUGCUAGGACGCAACUGACACUGAGGGACGAAAGCUAGGGGAGCGAAUGGG